CCCCUCUCAAGGUUGUACCUGGAGAGUUUUCGGUACUCUACCAGUCUCGACUAUGGAAGGGAGAGUCAAGCAGAGGCCUACCUAUUCCAUUCGUAGCUUGGCCAGUGGCUAGUGAGUGGAAGGCAAUCUGCUAUAAGU